rnacentral:rRNA from 1 species
CCCUUAGAUGUUCUGGGCUGCGCGCGUGCUACAAUGGCGCUUGCAACAAGUCUUGCCAACCCGAUAGGGUGAGCGGAUCUUUGAAGAGGCGUCGUGAUCGGGACAGUUGAUUGCAAUUAUUCGACUCGAACGAGGAAUUCCUUGUAAUCGCGAUUCAUCAUAUCGCGCUGAAUACGUCCCUGCCCUUUGUACACACCGCCCGUCGCUCCUACCGAUUGAGCGAUCCGGUGAAUGUUUUGGACUGGCGUCAGAAGCGGUUCGCUCCUGACACUACGAAAUUUUGUAAACCUUAUCGCUUAGAGGAAGGAAAAGUCGUAACA